UCCGUAGGUGGAUCAAUCAGUCAGAGGUGGAAUCCUGCAGCUUAACUGUAGAACUGCCUUUGAUACUGUUGAUCUUGAGUCAUUAUGAAGUGGUUAGAAUGUGUAGUGUAGCGGUGAAAUGCAUAGAUAUUACACAGAAUACCGAUUGCGAAGGCAGAUCACUAAUAAUGUACUGACACUGAGGGACGAAAGCGUGGGGAGCGAACAGGAUUAGAUACCCUGGUAGUCC
rnacentral:rRNA from 1 species